rnacentral:rRNA from 1 species
AUUGAACGCUGGCGGCAGGCCUAACACAUGCAAGUCGAGCGGAUGAGAGGAGCUUGCUUCUCGAUUCAGCGGCGGACGGGUGAGUAAUGCCUAGGAAUCUGCCUAUUAGUGGGGGACAACGUUUCGAAAGGAACGCUAAUACCGCAUACGUCCUACGGGAGAAAGCAGGGGACCUUCGGGCCUUGCGCUAAUAGAUGAGCCUAGGUCGGAUUAGCUUGUUGGUGAGGUAAUGGCUCACCAAGGCGACGAUCCGUAGCUGGUCUGAGAGGAUGAUCAGUCACACUGGAACUGAGACACGGUCCAGACUCCUACGGGAGGCAGCAGUGGGGAAUAUUGGACAAUGGGCGAAAGCCUGAUCCAGCCAUGCCGCGUGUGUGAAGAAGGUCUUCGGAUUGUAAAGCACUUUAAGUUGGGAGGAAGGGUUGUAGAUUAAUACUCUGCAAUUUUGACGUUACCGACAGAAUAAGCACCGGCUAACUCUGUGCCAGCCGCCGCGGUAAUAC